rnacentral:rRNA from 1 species
AUUGAACGCUGGCGGCAUGCCUUACACAUGCAAGUCGAACGGCAGCACGGGAGCAAUCCUGGUGGCGAGUGGCGAACGGGUGAGUAAAGUAUCGGAACGUGCCCAGUCGUGGGGGAUAACGUAGCGAAAGUUACGCUAAUACCGCAUACGAUCUAUGGAUGAAAGCGGGGGAUCGCAAGACCUCGCGCGAUUGGAGCGGCCGAUAUCAGAUUAGGUAGUUGGUGGGGUAAAGGCUCACCAAGCCGACGAUCUGUAGCUGGUCUGAGAGGACGACCAGCCACACUUGGACUGAGACACGGCCCAGACUCCUACGGGAGGCAGCAGUGGGGAAUUUUGGACAAUGGGCGAAAGCCUGAUCCAGCCAUGCCGCGUGCAGGAUGAAGGCCUUCGGGUUGUAAACUGCUUUUGUACGGAACGAAAAGGUUUGACUUAAUACGUUGGACUCAUGACGGUACCGUAAGAAUAAGCACCGGCUAACUACGUGCCAGCCGCCGCGGUAA